GAAUGCUGACAUAAGUAACGAUAAAGCGGGUGAAAAGCCCGCUCGCCGGAAGACCAAGGGUUCCUGUCCAACGUUAAUCGGGGCAGGGUGAGUCGACCCCUAAGGCGAGGCCGAAAGGCGUAGUCGAUGGGAAACAGGUUAAUAUUCCUGUACUUGGUGUUACUGCGAAGGGGGGACGGAGAAGGCUAUGUUAGCCGGGCGACGGUUGUCCCGGUUUAAGCAUGUAGGCUGGUUGUCCAGGCAAAUCCGGAUAAUCAAGGCUGAGGUGUGAUGACGAGGCACUACGGUGCUGAAGUAACAAAUGCCCUGCUUCCAGGAAAAGCCUCUAAGCAUCAGGUAACAUUAAAUCGUACCCCAAACCG
rnacentral:rRNA from 1 species